UCUUAUCAACAUUUCAUAAAAAUUCACUCUGUUUCAUUUAAAUGUAGUUUUAUUCAAUACAAAAAUUACAUAUAAAUGUAAAAUUUAAAUAUUCUAAUCAUUUGAAAUCUCAAUUCAUAGAUUUGAUACUUUAUUUGUUUUAUCUUUAAAUGUUAUUAAAUUUAUUGAAAUGAAAUUAGCAAUAAUUUAGCCUACAUAUAUACUACAUGUAUAAAAUGUAUGUCAUCAUGGUCAUGAUUCAAAGUUCAGGUUGGAUUUAAAUUCAUCAAAAUGAGACUAACAUGUGAUACUGGAAGGUACUAAUUUGCCCCACAAGACAGUUUAUCUAAUAUUACAGAAUGAAAUGCAUGCCAGGACUUGCAUUGUAUCAUAAGAAUCAAAAUAACCAGCAAACAUGAUGGUAUACAAUGUAUGUGCUUGUUCAGUGGAGAUUUUUUUUUAAAUUCGUUAAUACAAUUAAACAUGAAUACUGUAUGUGCAUGAUCCAUAUUGGUACAUGUAAUUGGAAUUCAAUUUAUUGAAAUAAUAUAUACAUACAUAUACAUGUAAUUGUAUGCUUCAUAUACAUGUACAUGAUUCAUGUGGGUUAAUGGAACAUUGGAUUUCAUCUAACAGAUUUAGAACUUUUUUUCUAAUAUAAAAACUUUGUAUCCAAAUAAGAACAGCAAAACUAUUUUUGUAUCAAAGAAAAGUCAAAUCUAAAUCACAUAAAAAUAAAUGUUCUUUUUACAUGAAAGUAUACAGAAAAUAUUUUCAUGGUUUAAAGAUA
rnacentral:lncRNA from 1 species